rnacentral:rRNA from 1 species
CCUACGGGUGGCAGCAGUGAGGAAUAUUGGUCAAUGGGAGAGAUCCUGAACCAGCCAAGCCGCGUGAGGGAAGACGGCCCUAUGGGUUGUAAACCUCUUUUGUCGGAGAACAAAACCCGGGACGAGUCCCGGACUGCGUGUAUCCGAAGAAAAAGCAUCGGCUAACUCGGUGCCAGCACCCGCGGUAAUAGGGGGGAUGCGAGCGUUAUCCGGUUUUAUUGGGUUAAAAGGGUGCGUAGGGGGUCUGUUAAGUCAGCGGUACAAUGGCGGGGCUAAACCCCGUCGAGCCGUUGAAACUGGCAGACUUGAGUUGGCGAGAGGUACGCGGAAUGCGCGGUGUAGCGGUGAAAUGCAUAGAUAUCGCGCAGAACUCCGGUUGCGAAGGCAGCGUACCGGCGCCAGACUGACGCUGAGGCACGAAAGCGUGGGGAUCGAACAGGAUUAGAUACCCCAGUAGUC